ensembl:lncRNA
GAGCUGGUUGAACUUACCUUCUUUAAUGUGCAGCAUCCCAGUUUCAAAAGGCUGACUCCUCCUUGGCCAACCUACUGACCUACAGUUAAGGGACGUUUGUGCAAUUGGGAGAGUUGGGAGUGCCCUCAGUUUGCAGGGCAAACCAAACAUUGCUUUCCCACCUCCAGGUUUUCCGGCUUUAUGUCUGAAGAAUAUUUAAGACAAAAGGAGUAUUCAAUGUCAUGAGCAUUUGAUACUGAUUGAAGAUGCCAGAAUGACACCUCUCCUCCAGAGGAUGCUUUGCACAGCUGCAGGGUGAAUUUCUUCCCAUGUAAGUAUCUCCAGCUUUGACAUGACCCCCAGCCAACUUAGCAACCUCUGAUGCCAGAGUGAGCAGCUUGGGUUCAUGAUCCGUCAGGUUUUCUUGGAAUCAUUUGAACUCAUGAAAAAGAGAUGUACUCACUGCUGGGCCAGCUCCCAGCUGUCUGAACCAACAGAUCUCUGCUCAGAAGGACAUCCCACCAGUGAUGCAGAGUAUUGAUCCAGAAAGCAGAGUGCGAACGAUCUGACUCCAUCCUCUCCAUCAUAGGGAAACAUUUCCAGGAGGCCAUGGUCUCCUGCGUUAUCAUGAACAUAAAUGAGAGGAAAGGCUUUCGUUAUGAUUCAGAAACAUUAAAAAAAUAUGGAAUUAUGGGAUCAUAAUAGUUGGAAAAGACCUCUAAGAUCAUCUAGUCCAACCAUCAACCCAUCCCACCAUGCCCACUGACCACAUCCCUCAGCGCCACGUCUCCCUUUCUCUUGAACACCUCCAGGGAUGGUGACUCCACCACUUCCCUGAGCAGCCUGUGCCGAUGCACUACAACUCCUUCUGAGAAGAAACUGCUCAUAACAUCCAAGCUGAACCUCCCCUGGCACAUCUUAAGGACAUCACCUCUUUUCCUAUCGCUGUUGGAUUACCCGGAAGCACAGACCGACCCCCAUCUCACCACAACCUCCUUUCAGGGAGUUGUAGAAAGUGAUGAGGUCUUCCCUGAGCCUCCUCUUCUCCACACUGAACAUUCUCACUCCCCAUAAAACCUGCAUAUGAAAAACCAGUCAAAAACAAGGGAAAAAAACACAGAAAAAAAAAAAAAAAGCAAAACAAAGAAACAAACAAACAAAAAGAAAAGAAACUCCAAUAAACACAACCACAAAUCUGAGAAUCUUUUCUUCUUUUUGGCCUUUCCUGACUUUAUCUUUUAUUUGUAGUCACAGCGGUCGGAGCGGACCCAGAGGAGAUGGAGGCGAGGUCAACCACUGUGCUUUGCCGCAUCCUUUCUGUCGGAGGAGACAUCUGCUAAAACCAGCUGUGGCAGCGGCUUGUGAGUGAUGGAAGGCUGGACUCAAGACUGCAAUUCAGCUCAUUAAAAGCACCCCGGGGGCUGCUAUGGUUAUUUGCCCCCUGUAGUGCUGGCAUUUUUCAGGCCAGGUCAGAACUCAUUGCUCCAGGCUCUGCGCUCUCUCCAGGCUCUCCCCAUCCUUUGUCCGAAGGCACGUCUUUAGUCUGUUCCUCGUUUUAUCCACCACCUCGAAGGCAGAGACCUGUGUCUGAGCAGACUCCCAUCCCCUGCCCUGAACAAAUGUGGUCAGCGUGAAACGAAGCCCAGAGCGGCAGCGCGUUCCCCUGUGAGCAGACGGAAAGUUUCAAAGGCACAAAGGGUAUUUAGGCACUGACUUCAAAGUCAGUAAGUUGGAUGCUGAAAAAAAAUCUCCCCCGUAGCCUUUAUGUCAUGCCACUUAAUAAGUAAUUAAA